rnacentral:rRNA from 1 species
UUACCCUACGGGACGCAGCAGUGAGGAAUAUUGGUCAAUGGCCGUAAGGCUGAACCAGCCAAGUAGCGUGAGGGAAGACUGCCCUAUGGGUUGUAAACCUCUUUUAUGCGGGGAUAAAGGUGUCCACGUGUGGAUGUUUGCAGGCACCGCAUGAAUAAGGACCGGCUAAUUCCGUGCCAGCAGCCGCGGUAAUACGGAAGGUCCGGGCGUUAUCCGGAUUUAUUGGGUUUAAAGGGAGCGUAGGCCGGGCUUUAAGCGUGCCGUGAAAUUUUGUGGCUCAGCCAUGAGAGUG